GCUGAGGAGCAGAGAGGACCAGACUUCCUGGAAGAGCAAGCAGGGUACCUGAGGCAGAGCAAGGCUGGGGAAAGGCAGGUAGAGCUGAGGAGCUCUGAUCUGAACACACACAACGUGGGUAGCAUUACUGCAAGAUUCCUCAUCCCAAUGUCCUGAUGUAUGUCAACCAUGCCCUGGAAGGAUCACCAGAAAGAUUAAGAUACUAAACCGCAGAAGCAAAGGAAGUAGGUUUUCAAAGAAAACUGGGGUUUAUAUUUGAUGACAAAGAGCAAAUCUGGAGCUGUCUUCUGCCAAACUAUUGAUCUGCCACCUGAAUAUUGGUUGUGCGUGAGUAACAAGAGACUGUGGACACUGGAAAUCAUAAAAGAAAGCAGCAACUAAAGAGCAUAUUUGCUGCAUACACCAGCAUCAAAAUCUGCCUUUGUUAGGGCUGAAUGAAAACCAUCCUUAUCCUGUUGAAAUCACCUUCUCAGGUCGCAGCACAGCUGGUUGGAUUAUCUAUGAAUGAGGGCAUUUUGUCCCUAUCCAGAGGUACUGGCAAACAGCAAGUAUUCUGCUUCCAAUCCAUUGGGAGUUACACAUUGAUGGGUUUGAAUCCUUUAUACAGAAUAAAGCCAAUCACUUUGGGAUAUGGCAGUUUGGGACAUUAGCAUGCAAGUCCAUGGCAGAUUGCGAUCAUACAAUGGGUAAAUCCUCACAGUAUUUCAGUUGUCCAAUUUGGAGCGAACCCUACAGAAAAGUGUCCAAGUUUUCUGAAAUAUUGGGGCACCUGUUUAUCCACACUGGGUAUCCCUGAUGCUGUUCACAAAGCUUACAACACUCAUUGUGCUUUAUUAUAUUGCACCAGUAAAUUAGACAGAGGAUUGCCCAUGGAUAGCAAAAUAAAGGCUGAAUUCUGCCAGACUCUUAAUGGAAAGGCACUUGGAUCCAUUCUGGCCAUAAAGAUAUAUCAUGGGGAAGAUUUUUUUUUAAAUGCACACAAGCCCAACGAACUCCUUGAAGCAACUAGAUGGUCCUUGCUUCUGCAAUAAACAUGCACCCAAAUAUCACUGACAAAUUACUAUAGGACUGUGUAGCAUUUUAUCAUUAAUUUUCCAAUUUUGUCAAUUUUUAUUGGUGGACAAAAUGAAUGUAUUCAAAUAAAUGGGACUGUGUUUUUAGAGCUCUGACAUUUGUGAUCAGUAACAACAUUUUGGCAGCACAUUCCUGGAGGAGCAAUUAUUGAUUCACUAGUGGGUUCACACACCGCAUACAUAGUUCUAUAAUUCUGUAGUAACUCAGGACCAAUUUCCGCAACAAAAUUUUGCAAAUUCAGCAGCACUCCUGUUGCAAUGGAAACAAGGGCAGCAGCUGUUUUCAGACGUACAAUUUCCAAAUU